rnacentral:rRNA from 2 species
UCGAUUAGAGUUUGAUCCUGGCUCAGGACGAACGCUGGCGGCAUGCCUAAUACAUGCAAGUCGAACGAGCUUCCGUUGAAUGACGUGCUUGCACUGAUUUUAACAAUGAAGCGAGUGGCGAACUGGUGAGUAACACGUGGGAAAUCUGCCCAGAAGCAGGGGAUAACACUUGGAAACAGGUGCUAAUACCGUAUAACAACAAAAUCCGCAUGGAUUUUGUUUGAAAGGUGGCUUCGGCUAUCACUUCUGGAUGAUCCCGCGGCGUAUUAGUUAGUUGGUGAGGUAGAGGCCCACCAAGACGAUGAUACGUAGCCGACCUGAGAGGGUAAUCGGCCACAUUGGGACUGAGACACGGCCCAAACUCCUACGGGAGGCAGCAGUAGGGAAUCUUCCACAAUGGACGAAAGUCUGAUGGAGCAAUGCCGCGUGAGUGAAGAAGGGUUUCGGCUCGUAAAACUCUGUUGUUAAAGAAGAACACCUUUGAGAGUAACUGUUCAAGGGUUGACGGUAUUUAACCAGAAAGCCACGGCUAACUACGUGCCAGCAGCCGCGGUAAUACGUAGGUGGCAAGCGUUGUCCGGAUUUAUUGGGCGUAAAGCGAGCGCAGGCGGUUUUUUAAGUCUGAUGUGAAAGCCUUCGGCUUAACCGGAGAAGUGCAUCGGAAACUGGGAGACUUGAGUGCAGAAGAGGACAGUGGAACUCCAUGUGUAGCGGUGGAAUGC